GAUGAACGCUGGCGGCGUGCCUAAUACAUGCAAGUCGAGCGGUAAGGCCACUUCGGUGGUACACGAGCGGCGGACGGCUGAGUAACACGUAGGAACGUACCCCAAACUGAGGGAUAAGCACCGGAAACGGUGUCUAAUACCGCAUGUGCUCUUCGGAGUAAAGCUACGGCGGUUUGGGAACGGCCUGCGCAUGAUUAGCUAGUUGGUGAGGUAAUGGCUCACCAAGGCGACGAGCAUUAGCUGGUCUGAGAGGAUGAUCAGCCAGACUGGGACUGAGAACGGCCCAGACUCCUACGGGAGGCAGCAGUAGGGAAUUUUCCACAAUGGGGGCAACCCUGAUGGAGCAACGCCGCGUGCAGGAUGAAGGCUUUCGGGUCGUAAACUGCUUUUAUCUGUGAAGAUUAUGACGGUAGCAGAUGAAUAAGGAUCGGCUAACUCCGUGCCAGCAGCCGCCGUAA
rnacentral:rRNA from 1 species